AUUGAACGCUGGCGGCAUGCCUUACACAUGCAAGUCGAACGGUAACGGGCCUUCGGGUGCCGACGAGUGGCGAACGGGUGAGUAAUGUAUCGGAACGUACCUUUCAGUGGGGGAUAACUAUCCGAAAGGAUAGCUAAUACCGCAUAUUCUGUGAGCAGGAAAGCAGGGGAUCUUCGGACCUUGCGCUGAUUGAGCGGCCGAUAUCAGAUUAGCUAGUUGGUGAGGUAAAGGCUCACCAAGGCGACGAUCUGUAGCGGGUCUGAGAGGAUGAUCCGCCACACUGGAACUGAGACACGGUCCAGACUCCUACGGGAGGCAGCAGUGGGGAAUUUUGGACAAUGGGGGCAACCCUGAUCCAGCCAUGCCGCGUGAGUGAAGAAGGCCUUCGGGUUGUAAAGCUCUUUCGGCCGGGAAGAAAUCGCCUAGGUUAAUACCCUGUGCGGAUGACGGUACCGGCAUAAGAAGCACCGGCUAACUACGUG
rnacentral:rRNA from 1 species